rnacentral:rRNA from 1 species
UACGGAGGGUGCGAGCGUUGUCCGGAAUCACUGGGCGUAAAGGGCGCGUAGGCGGCCUGAUAAGUAGGGGGUGAAAUCCUGCGGCUUAACCGCAGGGCUGCCUUCUAAACUGUCAGGCUAGAGCACAGUAGAGGCAGGUGGAAUUCCCGGUGUAGCGGUGGAAUGCGUAGAGAUCGGGAAGAACAUCAGUGGCGAAGGCGGCCUGCUGGGCUGUUGCUGACGCUGAGGCGCGACAGCGUGGGGAGCGAACGGG